rnacentral:lncRNA from 1 species
CCUAACAAUUCCCUCCAAAGACCUCAUGUGAGGCAGGGCAAGGGAGGUGUCCACGCCCAGUCCAGAGACACUGCGGCCAGGGUGCGUGUGGGCGCACAGCAGGGGAAAGAGGGCACCGGCUGGCCUGAGAGGGGUGAGGAGGUGGUCUGUGUAGGGCGGGGGAUGGCCCAGUAGGGGGUCAGAGCCUGAGUAGUGAGGCAGGACAGCCUGGCAUGGUGUCGGAUCAGAGGAAGAGGACACAGCGGAGGGGCUGCCCAGUGUGGGUAUGCAACCUGAGCAGGGUGAAGGCGGCAUCCACAAGGAGGGCGCAAAGGGGAUCCCCUUGGGAGGGUUGGUGGCACGAGCUGUCAGAGCCCAGACAAGGAGAGGGGCAUUAAGCAGGAGCAGCAUCCUGGCAUGUGCCCAGCUGAGAGGAGGGCAUCUGAGCAGGGUGGGGCUGUGGGGCCGACACGGAAGAUGGGUUAGGUGGAGAGCCUGGUCUAACAGGUCGCUAUAUAUGGGAAGCCGGCUCUCCCUGUCUGGGGAGGAAAUUACAAAUAUGGAAAAGGAGGAGACUAGAAUGGACCUGCCCUGUUUGUUGGAACUGGAGGAACUAUGUCUGGGAACUCAAACUUUUUGGGAAACUUGCCAUCAGGUGGGGCAUGUCAGCUGGAGGCAGAUGGCUGCAUUCCCAAGGAAAGAGGAGAGAGGAGGAAGAAAGCUGGGAACCAACGUGGAAAAACGGGCAAGAACCACAGCCAAACGAUAUCCCAGGAACAGGCCACGGCUGCCCAGGACACGUCUUCCACCCGCCCCGCCACUGGUGGAUUUGGACUCCUGCCCAUGCCACCAGAGACCCAGUGUCCCAGAAUCACACCAUCUCGGGGCAUCUGGAGCGGGAAUCUCUUCCUCAACCUCCCAGACCACCAGGCGGCCAGCUUCAGCCUCCGAGAAGCUGAGACCAGGAGCAAGCGCCUGAACCUCUCUGAGCCUCAGCUUCUUCGUCUGUGAACAGGGGCUGGUCACACGAGUGUCCAGGGCUACUGUGAACAUCGUAGGGUAACGUGUGUAAAGUCC